rnacentral:rRNA from 1 species
CCUAGAAAGAAUCUAAGGUGAAACCUGCUCAGUGAUUUUUAAAAUAUUGUAAAUAAAAUUUAAAAAAUUUAAAAGACGCAGUAACCUGACUGUGAUAAUGUAGCAUAAUUAUUCGCCAUUUAAUUGAUGGAUAGCAUGAAUGGUUAAACGAACCUUUCACUGUCUAAAAAAGAGAAAUCAUGAAAUUAAAAUAAUAGUUAAGAUACUAUUUAAAAUUGUAAGACGAAAAGACCCUAUAGAACUUAACUAUAUUAUUUUUACAAAUUAAGAAAAAUUUCUAAAAACAUAAAUAAUGGUAGUUUAGUUGGGGCGACUACCUUUUAAACAUAACAAAGGCAAACAAAACUUAAUAAAAUAUUUUAUUGUAUAACCAAUAAGUUUAACAAUUACUACAGUAGGUUAUAAUGACCCGUUGAAAUUUAGUAAUGAAAUCAACGACUAAUAAAUAAAAGUUACCUUAGGGAUAACAGAAUAAUUUUAUCUCAGAGACCAUAUCAAAGAUAAAGUUUAUUACCUCUAUGUUGAAUUAAGAUAUCCCAGCAGAGCAGAAACUGCUAAAGGUAGGUCUGUUCGACCUUUAAAAU